UUUUUUUUUGGUUGUCAAUCCCAACAAACAAAAUUUCUAAACCUACAAAAU
rnacentral:sRNA from 1 species